rnacentral:rRNA from 1 species
UACGUAGGGCGCAAGCGUUGUCCGGAAUUAUUGGGCGUAAAGAGCUCGUAGGCGGUCCGUCACGUCGGCUGUGAAAACCCGAGGCUCAACCUCGGGCCUGCAGUCGAUACGGGCAGACUAGAGUUCGGUAGGGGAGACUGGAAUUCCUGGUGUAGCGGUGAAAUGCGCAGAUAUCAGGAGGAACACCGGUGGCGAAGGCGGGUCUCUGGGCCGAAACUGACGCUGAGGAGCGAAAGCGUGGGGAGCAAACAGGAUUAGAUACCCUGGUAGUCC